rnacentral:rRNA from 1 species
AAGUCAUACGAAAGUUUUUAACUUAAGUGGCGGACGGGUGAGUAACACGUGAGAAUUUGCCUUUAGGAGGGGGAUAACAGCUGGAAACGGCUGCUAAUACCCCAUAUGCUUCCGAGUGAAAUAGAUUUAUCUGCCUAAAGAGAAGCUCGCGGCUGAUUAGCUUGUUGGUGAGGUAAUGGCUCACCAAGGCGACGAUCAGUAUCUGGUUUGAGAGGAUGAUCAGACACACUGGAACUGAGACACGGUCCAGACUCCUACGGGAGGCAGCAGUGGGGAAUUUUCCGCAAUGGGCGAAAGCCUGACGGAGCAAUACCGCGUGAGGGAAGAAGGCCUAUGGGUUGUAAACCUCUUUUUUCAGGGAGGAACUCAAUGACGUGUACCUGAAGAAUAAGCAUCGGCUAACUCCGUGCCAGCAGCCGCGGUAAGACGGAGGAUGCAAGUGUUAUCCGGAAUCACUGGGCGUAAAGCGUCUGUAGGUUGUUGAAUAAGUCAACUGUUAAAUCUUGAGGCUCAACCUCAAAAUCGCAGUCGAAACUAUUUGGCUAGAGUAUAGUAGGGG